rnacentral:rRNA from 1 species
UCUUUCGGGCCAAUGGGGCGGCAAAGCCCUGACCCGAGCGACCGCCCGCGUGUGCGAUGAAGGGCCCUUCGGGGUUGUAAACGCCACUGUCGAGGGGGAUAAAAGCGCGCAAGCUUGAUAGAUCCCCUGGGAGGAAAGCACGGGCUAAGUUCGUGCCCAGCAGCCCGCGGUAAGACGAACCGUGCGAACGUUGUUCGGAAUCACUGGGCUUAAAGGGUGCGUAGGCGGGGUGGCAAGUCUGUGGUGAAAUCCUCCGGCUCAACCGGAGAACUGCCGUGGAUACUGCUACUCUCGAGGGGUGUAGGGGCAUGUGGAACUCAGGGUGGAGCGGUGAAAUGCGUAGAUAUCCUGAGGAACGCCGGUGGCGAAAGCGACGUGCUGGACACCUUCUGACGCGAGGCACGAA